CUACGGGGGGCUGCAGUAAGGAAUAUUGCGCAACGGAGGCAACUCUGACGCAGCCAUGCCGCGUGCAGGAAGAAGGCCUUAUGGGUCGUAAACUGCUUUUAUUUAGGAAUAAACCCCCGAACGUGUUCGGGGCUGAAGGUACUAAACGAAUAAGCACCGGCUAACUCCGUGCCAGCAGCCGCGGUAAUACGGAGGGUGUAAGCGUUAUCCGGAUUUAUUGGGUUUAAAGGGUGCGCAGGCGGGCUAUUAAGUCAGUGGUGAAAUCCCGGGGCUCAACUCCGGAACUGCCAUUGAUACUGAUAGUCUUGAGUUUGGUUGAAGUGGGCGGAAUGUAGCAUGUAGCGGUGAAAUGCAUAGAUAUGCUACAGAACACCAAUCGCGAAGGCAGCUCACUAAGCCAAAACUGACGCUCAUGCACGAAAGCGUGGGGAUCAAACAGGAUUAGAUACCCGCGUAGUC
rnacentral:rRNA from 1 species